GGCGAACUGAAGGCCCUGCUCGAAAGUGGGGUAGAGGCUGAUGAAGGUGAUAUCCGGCGUAGCUGGCGCGAUCUCACGCCCGCGGAUCUUCACCUCGAUCUCCCACCGUGGCUGCCAUCCCUCGGGUGCGGCGGUCUCGACUCAGCCUCUGAACCUGGGUGGUGGCAGGUCGAGGAAAGCACACAGUGCCGCCAAAGGGGCACUGAACAGCUGGUCCGUGGAGGGGUAGUAGACUCUGGUGAACGGCGGUACAUUGCCGAACGGUGUUGGGCUUCCCAUCUAUAGAAGAUAAAGAAGGAGAUAAGGGAGUAUCAGUGACAUGUUCAAAUGGUCAGAUGUAUGAAGGAAAAAUAAAAUAAGGUAAAUGUAGUAAAGUCAGAAUGAAGUAAUAAACAAUAUUGUUAGGGUGGAAAUGUCAAUAUAAAAUUGGAUGCAUAAUAUUAUGUGGGUAACAUGGCAACAUGAUUAUGAUGG
rnacentral:lncRNA from 1 species